rnacentral:hammerhead_ribozyme from 1 species
AUUCAAAUGACGAGUCCCAAAUAGGACGUAUCAUGUAUCUUGGAU